UGUAAUUUAGUUUAAAUAAAACAUUUAUUUUUGAAGUAAAAAAUAUUAAUUACAAU
rnacentral:tRNA from 1 species